UUAGCUAAUGUGAAGAUUAUAGCUGGUGUUUCUGUUAAAGUCCCAAGAGUAUCCUCCAUAGCCCAACUGCGUAAGAGGAAAGGUCAUGACAGGUAGAGCCUUAUUGCUAUAAACAAAAACUGCUAACUAUCUUGUGCAGGUUGAUAUGGGAGGAGUACCAGCAACACUGGUUAAUAUUGUGUGAAGACGUCAGCCAUUGGCAGUUGCAUAUUGAAAUGAGUACUUAGGACCUCAGGUACUGAUUGACCUAAAGAUCAGACUAAUUAUGUGUAUAAAACACAUGUAUGAUGUAUAAUAGUAUAAUACUAUGAAUGUGUGUAUAUGU